rnacentral:rRNA from 1 species
UACGUAGGGUGCGAGCGUUGUCCGGAAUUAUUGGGCGUAAAGGGCUCGUAGGCGGUCUGUCGCGUCGGGAGUGAAAACUCAGGGCUUAACCCUGAGCCUGCUUCCGAUACGGGCAGACUAGAGGUAUGCAGGGGAGAACGGAAUUCCUGGUGUAGCGGUGAAAUGCGCAGAUAUCAGGAGGAACACCGGUGGCGAAGGCGGGUCUCUGGGCCGUAACUGACGCUGAGGAGCGAAAGCGUGGGGAGCGAACAGG